rnacentral:rRNA from 1 species
UCUAGGUAUAAGCAAUUAUACCGUGAAACUGCGAAUGGCUCAUUAAAUCAGUUAUCGUUUAUUUGAUAGUACCUUACUACUUGGAUACCUGUGGUAAUUCUAGAGCUAAUACAUGCUAAAAACCCCGACUUCGGAAGGGGUGUAUUUAUUAGAUAAAAAACCAAUGCCCUUCGGGGCUCCUUGGUGAUUCAUAAUAACUUCUCAGAUCGCAUGGCCUUGCGCCGGCGACGGUUCAUUCAAAUUUCUGCCCUAUCAACUUUCGAUGGUAAGGUAUUGGCUUACCAUGGUUUCUACGGGUAACGGGGAAUUAGGGUUCGAUUCCGGAGAGUUAGCCUGAGAAACGGCUAACACAUCCAAGGAAGGCAGCAGGCGCGCAAAUUACCCAAUCCUGAUACAGGGAGGUAGUGACAAUAAAUACUGAUACAGGGCUCUUUUGGGUCUUGUAAUUGGAAUGAGUACAAUUUAAACCUCUUAACGAGGAACAAUUGGAGGGCAAGUCUGGUGCCAGCAGCCGCGGUAAUUCCAGCUCCAAUAGCGUAUAUUAAAGUUGUUGCAGUUAAAAAGCUCGUAGUUGAACCUUUGGCCUGGCUGGCAGGUCCGCCUCACCGCGUGCACUUGUCCGGCCGGGCCUUUUCUUCUGGAGAACCGCAUGCCCUUCACUGGGUGUGUUGGGGACCAGGACUUUUACUUUGAAAAAAUUAGAGUGUUCAAAGCAGGCCUUUGCUCGAAUAUUACAGCAUGGAAUAAUAAAAUAGGACGUCGGUUCUAUUUUGUUGGUUUCUAGGACCGCCGUAAUGAUUAAUAGGGACAGUCGGGGGCAUCAGUAUUCAAUUGUCAGAGGUGAAAUUCUUGGAUUUAUUGAAGACUAACUACUGCGAAAGCAUUUGCCAAGGAUGUUUUCAUUAAUCAGUGAACGAAAGUUAGGGGAUCGAAGACGAUCAGAUACCGUCGUAGUCUUAACCAUAAACUAUGCCGACUAGGGAUCGGGCGGUGUUAUAAUUUUGACUCGCUCGGCACCUUACGAGAAAUCAAAGUGUUUGGGUUCUGGGGGGAGUAUGGUCGCAAGGCUGAAACUUAAAGAAAUUG